UAGCAUAAUCAUUAGUCUUUUAAUUGGAGGCUUGUAUGAAUGGUUGGACAAAAAGCAAACUGUCUCAAUUAUAAUAAUUGAAUUUAACUUUUAAGUGAAAAGGCUUAAAUAAACUGGGGGGACGAUAAGACCCUAUAAAGCUUUACAAUUAUUUAAUUAAAUUAUAAAUUGUUAGUAUAACUUAAUUAAUUGAUAUUUGUUUCGUUGGGGCGACGAGAAUAUAAUUUUAAGUAACUGUUCUUUUAUGGUUAAUUACAGAUUUAUUUGGGUAAAAAUUGAUCCUUUAUUAGAGAUUAAAAGAUUAAGUUACUUUAGGGAUAACAGCGUAAUCUUCUUUGAGAGUUCAUAUCGACAAGAGGGGUU
rnacentral:rRNA from 1 species